rnacentral:rRNA from 1 species
AUUGAACGCUGGCGGCAUGCCUUACACAUGCAAGUCGAACGGCAGCAUGGAGAGCUUGCUCUCUGAUGGCGAGUGGCGAACGGGUGAGUAAAGCAUCGGAGCGUACCGUGUAGUGGGGGAUAACGUAGCGAAAGUUACGCUAAUACCGCAUACGCACUGAGGUGGAAAGCAGGGGAUCGUAAGACCUUGCGCUAUACGAGCGGCCGAUGUCAGAUUAGCUAGUUGGUAGGGUAAAGGCCUACCAAGGCGACGAUCUGUAGCGGGUCUGAGAGGAUGAUCCGCCACACUGGGACUGAGACACGGCCCAGACUCCUGCGGGAGGCAGCAGUGGGGAAUUUUGGACAAUGGGGGCAACCCUGAUCCAGCCAUGCCGCGUGAGUGAAGAAGGCCUUCGGGUUGUAAAGCUCUUUCGGCCGGGAAGAAAUCGCACAGGCUAAUACCCUGUGUGGAUGACGUACCGGCAUAAGAAGCACCGGCUAACUACGUGCCAGCCGCCGCAGUAA